rnacentral:rRNA from 1 species
UUAGGAAAUUUUGCCAAUGGGGGAAACCCUGAGCGAGUAACGCCGCGUGGAGGAAGACGGCCUUCGGGUUGUAAACUCCUUUUCUGUGGGAAGAUGAUGACGGUACCACAGGAAGAAGCCCCGGCUAACUACGUGCCAGCAGCCGCGGUAAUACGUAGGGGGCGAGCGUUGUCCGGAAUUACUGGGCGUAAAGAGCGCGUAGGCGGCAUGAUAAGUUCUGUGUGAAAGCCCCCGGCUCAACUGGGGAGGGUCGCAGAAAACUGUCAAGCUUGAGUGUCGGAGAGGGAAGUGGAAGUCCCGGAGUAGGGGUGAAAUCCGUAGAGACCGGGCCGAACACCAGUGGCGAAGGCGACUUCCUGGCCGACGACUGACGCUGAGGCGCGAAAGCGUGGGGAGCGAACGGGAUUAGAUACCCCGGUAGUCC